rnacentral:tRNA from 1 species
GCGGAUAUGGCGGAAUUGGUAGACGCGCUGAUUUCAGGUGUCAGUGGGCGGGGCUCGUGCAGGUUCGACUCCUGUUAUCCGCA